rnacentral:lncRNA from 1 species
AACUGAUGAACUAUGUUGAAUGAGUUUUUCUUUCCAUGACCCCAUUAAUGUGAUAACUCUUUAAACUUAUGUUGAAUCAAUUGCAGUGAGUUGUAUUCAUGUUUGAGAAUUGCCUUUUGAAUUGAAUCUUUGAGUUUGCCAUGGUGAAAAAUGUAUUGAUGACCCUCAAUCGAUUGAGAAUAAAUUAAAGUUGUGUGAAUGAACUUAAUGUGACUUGAUUUAGCAAUUGGUGUUGAUUUGCCCAAAUCAUUGAGAGAAAGAAAAUUCAGCAAAGG